AACGAGAGAAUGACAAAUUAGAUUUUUUUUCCUGAUUUUCAACUUUUUCCUCUUGGAAAAAUUCAAAUCAAACUAAAAACACUAAAAAUUAAGAAAAAAAUUUAAUUUGUCAUUCUCCUAUU
rnacentral:pre_miRNA from 1 species